rnacentral:lncRNA from 1 species
GGGCUGUGCAGCAGAGCUGUCCCCGCUCACACUGUAAUCCUCAGCCCUCAGCUGUCAGCGUCUCGGAUGAGUUCUUGGAGGGUAUCCAGACAAACACAGGAGAGAUUUCAACUGCUGCGAUCCCCUGUCCUAUUUUAUCUCAUUUCUGACAGCCCAUGUCUGCUGAGGCUGGGAAGUGGUGAGGAGACGAGAGCAGCUUCCUGCAUUUGUGGAUGGAGAAGCACUCCUUCCUCUGACAGCCUGCUUGCUUUGCCUGUUUCCUGCAGUACUGAUGCACUGUCUCUUGCCUUCUGGACCAGCUGCAUCUUCAGGACAACGUCCCAGAUGGCUCUUUUAGGGAAAGAAAUCAGAGACUGAUUGGUGGCCAAAAAAAGUCUCUCAUCCAGUAUCAAAGCUUUAGCUGCACCUUAUGCUUCCCAAGGACGGCUUGGAAAGGGCACAGUGGAGCUGCUGCUGAUCCUCUUGCACCGGGCUCAGGGGGUAUCUGGAGAAACCCUGUGUUUCCAGAUAAGGACGUGCUGGAUUUACAGUUGUCUACCACUGUUAAUGCAUCCUCGUCUGCGUGGUCGUGUGAAGGUUGCUUUCCCGUUGACCAGAGGGAGACCCAUGGCUCAUCCGUGCACCCUUCUUAGAGCUGCUGAAGAGACUCAGAAUGGGGUGAUGGCCCCAUGCUCCUUCCUGGGGUCUCCUCUUCCUCAAGCAGGAUGCAGAGCCUGAACUAACUCUGAGCAAGGAACUGUGGAGUCCAGAAACAGCAGCUCUGCUUUAAGUGAGGCUCUUGCCCUGGGUAAUCAUCCCAUCCUGAGAAGCACAACGUACUAUCUCAGGCUUCUUCCUAAGGUGUGUUGACCAACGUGCAUUUGAUGUCUUGGAGCUGCCCUGGCAGUGUGUGGGCCAUCAUCCUCAGUGGGGAACCAGAGACAGCAAUCACUGCUAAGUGCCAGAUGAUAGCGUGUUUUGU